rnacentral:rRNA from 1 species
UACGAAGGGGGCUAGCGUUGCUCGGAAUCACUGGGCGUAAAGCGCACGUAGGCGGCUUCUUAAGUCAGGGGUGAAAUCCUGGAGCUCAACUCCAGAACUGCCUUUGAUACAGCACGUCUUGAGUCCGGAAGAGGUGGGUGGAAUUCCUAGUGUAGAGGUGAAAUUCGUAGAUAUUAGGAAGAACACCGGUGGCGAAGGCGGCCCACUGGUCCGGUACUGACGCUGAGGUGCGAAAGCGUGGGGAGCAAACAGG